rnacentral:tRNA from 1 species
GGUUGGAGAGAUGGCUCAGUGGUUAAGAGCACUGACUGCUCUUCCAGAGGUCCUGAGUUCAAUUCCCAGCAACCA